UACGGGGGGGGCAAGCGUUGUUCGGAAUUACUGGGCGUAAAGGGCUUGUAGGUGGCCAACUAAGUCAGACGUGAAAUCCCUCGGCUUAACCGGGGAACUGCAUCUGAUACUGGAUGGCUUGAGUUUGGGAGAGGGAUGCGGAAUUCCAGGUGUAGCGGUGAAAUGCGUAGAUAUCUGGAGGAACACCGGUGGCGAAGGCGGCAUCCUGGACCAACACUGACACUGAGGAGCGAAAGCCAGGGGAGCAAACGGG
rnacentral:rRNA from 1 species